UCCGUAGGGUGACCUGCGGAGGGAUCAUUACCGAGUUUACAACUCCCAAACCCCUGUGAACAUACCUAUUUGUUGCCUCGGCGGUGCCUGUUCCGACAGCCCGCCAGAGGACCCCAAACCCUGAUUACAUUUAAGAAGUCUUCUGAGUAAACCGAUUAAAUAAAUCAAAACUUUCAACAACGGAUCUCUUGGUUCUGGCAUCGAUGAAGAACGCAGCGAAAUGCGAUAAGUAAUGUGAAUUGCAGAAUUCAGUGAAUCAUCGAAUCUUUGAACGCACAUUGCGCCCGCUAGUAUUCUGGCGGGCAUGCCUGUCCGAGCGUCAUUUCAACCCUCAAGCCCCCGGGCUUGGUGUUGGGGAUCGGCGAGCCUCCGCGCCCGCCGUCCCCUAAAUCUAGUGGCGGUCUCGCUGUAGCUUCCUCUGCGUAGUAGCACACCUCGCACUGGGAAACAGCGCGGCCACGCCGUUAAACCCCCAACUUCUGAACGUUUGACCUCGGAUCAGGUAGGAAUACCCGCUGAACUUAAGCAUAUCAAUAAGCGGA
rnacentral:rRNA from 1 species